AUUCUGACUUUCAACAUAUAUAGAUCCAAGUCUCUGACUUAACCGUCAAAAAGAAAAAUGUAUCUUAUUUUAUUUUUCUCAAUGCUUUUUGGAAUUCCAAUUGUGCUUCAAAACUCUUAAAUUUGUAUAACAACUAGCCCGUGCAAUGAAACGCACCGUUUCAAUUACAUUAGGAAAAAAAAAACAGAACUUAAAAGAAAAAAAAAGACGCACCCACCCACUUUUUCCCUUUCUCCUUUCACUUUACCCAUUUCCCCCUCCAUUCGACAACAUCUUCAUCUUCUAUCCUCUUCUUCAUCAAUUACUUUUUCUUCACCAAAGAACCACACUAAUACCCACCAUAAACUACAAAUAUUUGAAGAAGAAGCUUGAAGGCUCACGUAGGAAGCUUUUGGGUUAGUUUUGAGUGCUAGGGAUUUUGUUUUAAGAGAGGAUAAGAUUACCCACCCCAUAAAGAGUAUUCACUUGAGCUCAAUGAGGAAUAUUCACAACCCAAAAAUUAUAAAUAAUGACUUGCCGAUCACGGACUCAUCCGGGCAUCUUGAAGUUGUUGGGAGCACUCCUCUUGAUCCUCCAUAGUAAUUCACAGGUAGCUGAGUAGGAGGUUGCUUCAGUUGCAGCUUGUACAGUUACUUCUUUUUGGUAGGCCUCCUACGGUUGGUGGCCAUGUUGAUGUCUUUUGUUGAUCUUGUUGGUGUUCUGCAGCUAUAAGGAAUAUGUAGUAGUCAUAUUUUGUAAAGUGUAAACAACUCUAUGAUGUAUUUGAUGACGUUGCUUCUUGGAUCCUUGGCUGGAUUUUAAACCUCAUUGGCAGGUCUUGUUAUUUUGGGAAAUGAAGAUUUACAAAGGAAACUCUGUCGAAAUGUCGUUUAAACUUGUUUACUUUUAUAAGAGGUAUUGCGGAAACGAAUCAUGUGAAAGCAGGCUUGCUAGGCUAUGGUAAUAGCUUAUGCGCCGGUUACGGCUUGGGUUUGGGUCGUGACAAAGUUGGUAUCAGAGCUUUGGUAGUAGGUCCUAAUAGCUGCAGACAUGAGGUAGUAAUAGAAUCUUGCUAGUAAAUUGUGAACCGCGGCACAACUUACUUCCAAGAUGCUAUUAACAUCUCAUGGUAGUCCUAGAGUCUUUUUCAAUGUUGUGAUUAAGCUAUUCUUAAUUCCUUCAAGAUGGAGUCUUGUCUU